CGGACCAAAAUGAUGAUUCCUGCCGGCGUCUGAGUCUCAGAUGAUGAGUACAGUGUCUGGAACUCUGAGGUCCCA